rnacentral:lncRNA from 1 species
GGGUGAGCCCGGUGGGAGGCAAGGAUUCGUGUCAUUGUCAGUGGGUAAUCAGGUCAGUGGGCCAGUGGGACGACCACUUUCAAUUUCAGUCCUUCUAGCUGUGCAACUCGCCGUGCCGCGCGUCGCGCGUUAUCUCGCGCUCUCGCUCUCCGUCUCCCUCUUUCUCCCCGCCGCCGCGAUACGUUCGUCUCUUUUGCCUCGCGAUGUUCACGCGACUCUAUCCGCCGUCCGUGUCGUUUCUGUGCUGUUUGUUAAUAUCGCGGUACAUACAUACGUACUCGUAGCUCGUGGUUCCUCUCGAGGGCGUCGUGGUUACUGGUAGAGGGAGGCAAAGAGGGUGUAGUGGAGGGGGGGGGGAAGUAGAGGCGCGAAGUCGUAAACGUGGCAGAAGUAUGAGUCGCGAGAAAAAGAAGGAGGAUGCAAGAGGGGAGAGGGGGAAGUCCUGACACGCGCCAAUCACAUCAUGUUUCUUCGGUUGCAAACGUGUACCGAGCAGUACGCGGUUUAACAGAAAGAAGCGAGAGAGAGUGAUAGGGAGAGUGACAGGAUGGCGGCAUGCGGGACAAAGGGCGAGGGGAAGGAUGAUGCACGCGCGAUCGCGCUAGCUCGCUCGCCCGACGGCGCUCGCUCGUUCUCUCGCACGGACGCCGGGAAAGAUAGCAGAAAGUAGGACGCGUAUUAAAAACCACAGACCGUGUCCCGUGGCGUCACUUCUCGUGCCUCGCCGCGGCGCGUCGGUAUUACCCAAUCGAAUUCAUCAUAACUGGCACGAGAAACGUACGAGCGAGCAAAUGAACGAACGAAUCGACGGACAUAUGGAGACAUGGACGAGUUGUCGAAUUGAAAAAGAGAAAGGGAGGGGGAGAACUAUACGACGUUUAAAAGAGAGAGGUAAUUUCGGUGAUAAGCGCGAUCAGCGCCAAGGCGCGGUGAUCGAUGGAAACACGGACGCCCAGUAUCUUACGAUCUAUGAUAAAACUUUCGAUUUCGAUGCGUCGAUCGCGAGAUCCGUGUAACGCCGCGGCCAAGCACUACGGUGAAUCGUGCUUUCUUAUUUUCAGUGUUUAGCCGAGGAGAAGAAACGAGUCACUUCCUCUCAUUAUUGCAUUCCCAAACGAAAUUUUUGCACGCACAAGUUCCAGAGAAAUAUUACCCGAGUGCUAAAUUUAGCGACUGAUCGAAACGAGACCAACGCCGUGGUGCGGCGAUCGCGAGAAUUAUAAAAGGUGCGAGCGCGCCUCUUCCGCUCGAAUCAAUGAUCCUUAAUUACGUUUGAAAAUUAAGCUGACGCCAAAGUAUCGCGCAACGAGUAAAUGAAUUUUCCUAAGGAAUUAGGUCAUGCCCUUGAAGAGUUAUUCGUGAAAGCUAAAGAAAUUUCGGCAUCGACUAUACACGCUUCAUCGACUAUUAUUUGACGACGUUUAAGUAAGUACGAUCUGAUCUUCCAAUAUAAGCUUACAAAUCCACCAAAAUUUCAUCUUUUCGGCAUGAACAAAUUUAUAUCGGACAAGAUCGAAUCUGUGACCUAAAAAAUCUAUCGAAGAAACGGAGAACGUUGUUGUUUGCAUAUCGAACGCUCGUAAAUUUACCAAACUAUAUCGAUAGAGGUAAACAAAAGUUACAAAGAUUGUUCCCUUCUCUUAAAAUUAUUACACCAGCCUAUUCAACGCGCAUGGCUGAAUAAAUCGAACGUUUCCGCGAUGCUAAACAUUUUAACACCCCGGCUACUUUGAAUGUCGCGCGCAUGCGCCCAGUAGUACGGAUAGCAAUUCUUAUAUGCGAUCCUUUGGACAAGCUUUUAGAUGUUGAUACCAUUGGGAGGGCGCCACAAGUUAGGAGAAGCAAUUUGGCGAUGCGAGAUAUGUACACGUAUAUGGUCUACUUUUCGAAGUCGGACCGCGUAGACGCGAUUCGAGCGCGCAUUCAAGUACGUCUUGCUUUGCAUUUGCAAGUACAAUGAAAUUAUGCAAGCGUGUUAUAUUGCAAUUAUAUGUACUCGCAAUAAAUCGGUAAUAACGGAAUAAUAGCCGUUACUAAUACACCGGGAAUGCGAGCUGGGAUAUUUCCAACGGCAUACAUUUAGUAACGGUGAUCAUAACACGGAGACUUACGAUCCAAUAAUACAAUUUGUAAUACGGUACUACAGAAAAGAAUUGUUUUUACAAUUACUUUAAAAAAGACACAUUAGAAAUAAAUCUGUUAUACUUAUUACAUAUACAGAAAUAAAUCUGUUAUGCUUAGACUGCGAACGUUUAUGCAAUUUUAUUUUAUUAUGGGAAAUUUUAAUGUACAAUAACAUAACGUAAUAUAGACGAUAUACAUAAUAUAAGAGUGAGCACGAUACGAAAGAAUAUAUGCAAUAAGAAAAUAUGCAAAGUGAUACACCUGUCGUAAUAUUUAAAGACCAAACCUAAUUUCUCUUUACAAUGUAUGCUUGAUUGUUGUGUCUAUAAAAAUUUCAAUGUACAUAAACAUUUACAGUCUAGUUAUAACUACUUCAAGUCUUGUCAAUGAAUUAUGUAAUUUCAUACGAUUAAAAGUAAUAAACGCACUUUAAUAAGAUGAGCAACAUAACUGAAACUUAUUUGUAAAAUCAGUGGAAUUCGAUCGUACCAUGAUUACGAUGCAAGAGGGUAAAAGCUGACGUGGACACGAGGGAUGAAGGUUCGGCAUCGAUAAAUUCGCCAACGUAUCUAUACCGGUGCUGUAGCCCGCUGGGGACGUUGAAUAAUAAUUAUUGUUAUUGGCUCGGCUUGGGUGUUAUUGAGUUAUUCCAAUGCGAGUUUAUCAAAGUGGGUCAAGCGAUUCAAUAGCGACCGCCGUGGAGGAGAAACGACCCAUCGUCUUAACGUGGCGUGGGAGUGUACGUAUAGCAGUAAAAUAAUGUGCACACGAUCAAACACACACCGGCAAACGCCACCGAAUUGGUACACGUAUAAAAAGUGACGAACAACCAGACCGUAAAAUCGGCACUACUAUUACGAGGAACAAUUACAACGAUGAUAUUUCUUUAUAUUAUUCGAAGAAAAUUGGUGGAAAAAAUUGGAUCAAUUUACUCGGGAAAAACAGGAACGCAGGAGAAACAGAAUUCGUGAAACGUAAAAUCGUUAUCUAAUUGAAAUCGUGGAAAAAACAAAUGUUGAUUCGGAGCUUGGUGCGAGUUAUAAUCUCGGUAACGAUUCCGCAGUCGAGAGAGAGAGAGACUAAUUAUCCGGCUUUCCAUUAGCAACAGGUAGAACGACGGACGAGCCAUAAAUUCCUGUAGGAAAGCGAGGAAACCGGAUUUUCUUCGCUCUCGGUGAGAGUUGGAACAACACUCGAUUGUUGCAUAAUAGGGACAACAAGGAUAAGAGGCGUGUGUCCUCGGUCAGACUGGCAAUAAACAAACAAAGAAUAUUUGACUGAGAUGUCAUGGGUAAAUAAGUAAACUGACGACAAGUGAAAAUACAGCCCAAGUCCCCUAAAGAGAAACGAAAUCACGAGUCACGAGAGAACCGAAGAAAAUGAAAAAGGUCGCGUGUCUAUAUUGGAGAUCGCUUUCGAAGUCACCGGAUGAUAUUGUAAAAAGAAGCGAAGAAUUAUUAAGGAAGUUUACCAUCAUUCACGCUACGCAUGUGAUUUACAUGUUAUUUAACCUUCCGUAAGCAAACUGGCUAGUUAUGUCCGAAUGUUUUUUUACUGUUAUUUAUUAUUAUAUUAUUACAUUAUUAUUUUACUGUUUCCGACUUCGAAAAGAUCCUGAAGCUAUCCUGAAAUAGUUAUCAAUGUUUUUACUACGCCAAAUGUUUGAAAUAUUCCUCAAUAAAAAUAGACAUUCUUUUUGGAGAAAUUGUAAAAUGAAAUUUAAAUUAGAUUCUCAACUACUCGAUUUGCCUACGAAAGAUUAAAUGUACUAAGAAUACGGAUAUCGAAAAUGAGACUUCCGGGGAAAUAACUGUUUGCAAGGUAUCAGAGGAUUAUAUUAUUCCUUCCAAAACCGUAUGGUAUUGAAUCGUCACAGAUUCGAAUAUGUGUACUAAGCAUACAUUCACACUAAUCAACUACUUUAGAUAUGGUUAGUUUCAAUGUAGUUACACGCCUUAAUGCAACAAGAACCAAUUGUACAUAACCACUUGAAGCAACCACGUAGAAAAGAUUGUAUUACGAAAUGUCUUGUACAGAAGUUCUAUAUGCCUCGAAACGCAUGCACGAUGCGCUCGCAAAAAGGGUAGUACCUAAAGAAUAUGUAAAGCAGGUUAAACGAUGUAUCGGAGACACAGCCUUGAAUAUUCAUGAAUACUGAACAACUUUUUUGGAA